CGCAGAUACAUGUGCAUGAGAAAGAAAAGUGUUGAUGUUUGCUUGUUCGGGCUGACGGGAAUGGCCCACGAAUUUAGGAUUAAAUUACUAAUGGCAAUCGUGGAUCCGUGUCAAGGGAGUGGAGCAACACUUCAGAAGGCGGAGCCCUGGCUCCAGCACCUCGCUCCCAGGGAACCCCGCCGGCCGCCAGCAUCCAAGUGCCACGGAGGACAAACGCGGAGAGAUGGUCAGCAAACAAUAAGAAGGUGUGAGAUGGAAUACGAUGCUGUUUGUUUUUCUGGACGGUCAAUAGUUUUCCCAAAAUUUCAGCUUCCUGUGCUUUUCAUUUUUGAUGAAAGUCUGUUUCAGCAGUUAAAGUAAGAAAACAACCCGCAUGCAACACGUGGAAGACUUUUUGGAAUAAAUGCCCUUUAGAGUGAGAGACCUUUACCUGCCUUAUGAAAUUGCAUCAAUAUUUCAAGGAAUAGGACAGAGGAAAAGUCAUAUUCAUGUAAGAUUUCACAAUGUGAUUUUGCAACACCUGCAGCGGAGUACCCAUGUUUUCUGACAGUGCUCACAAGAGCAGAAGACAAGCGUGUGUAAAAAAAAUAAUUAAAAUAU